UGCUCUCUGGGUGGCGAGUGGCGGACGGGUGAGGAAUACAUCGGAAUCUACUUUUUCGUGGGGGAUAACGUAGGGAAACUUACGCUAAUACCGCAUACGACCUACGGGUGAAAGCAGGGGAUCUUCGGACCUUGCGCGAUUGAAUGAGCCGAUGUCGGAUUAGCUAGUUGGCGGGGUAAAGGCCCACCAAGGCGACGAUCCGUAGCUGGUCUGAGAGGAUGAUCAGCCACACUGGAACUGAGACACGGUCCAGACUCCUACGGGAGGCAGCAGUGGGGAAUAUUGGACAAUGGGCGCAAGCCUGAUCCAGCCAUACCGCGUGGGUGAAGAAGGCCUUCGGGUUGUAAAGCCCUUUUGUUGGGAAAGAAAUCCAGCUGGCUAAUACCCGGUUGGGAUGACGGUACCCAAAGAAUAAGCACCGGCUAACUUCGUGCCAGCAGCCGCGGUAAUACGAAGGGUGCAAGCGUUACUCGGAAUUACUGGGCGUAAAGCGUGCGUAGGUGGUCGUUUAAGUCCGUUGUGAAAGCCCUGGGCUCAACCUGGGAACUGCAGUGGAUACUGGACGACUAGAGUGUGGUAGAGGGUAGCGGAAUUCCUGGUGUAGCAGUGAAAUGCGUAGAGAUCAGGAGGAACAUCCAUGGCGAAGGCAGCUACCUGGACCAACACUGACACUGAGGCACGAAAGCGUGGGGAGCAAACAGGAUUAG
rnacentral:rRNA from 1 species